UUUGAGGGGAAUGUUGUCUGGCUCGAGGCCGCCAUAACAGUUUUUCUCCCUUUUUUUUUUUUUUUUUUGGUUCUUCUGGAUCUCGGACCAGGCUUCAUUCCCCCCAAU
rnacentral:pre_miRNA from 1 species